rnacentral:rRNA from 1 species
CCUACGGGGGGCAGCAGUGGGGGAUAUUGCACAAUGGGGGGAACCCUGAUGCAGCGACGCCGCGUGGGUGAAGGAGUGCUUCGGCAUGUAAAGCCCUAUCGGCAGGGAAGAAGCAAGACGGUACCUGACCAAGAAGCCCCGGCUAACUACGUGCCAGCAGCCGCGGUAAUACGUAGGGGGCAAGCGUUAUCCGGAAUUACUGGGUGUAAAGGGAGCGUAGACGGUGAUGCAAGUCUGGAGUGAAAGGCGGGGGCCCAACCCCCGGACUGCUCUGGAAACUGGGUAACUUGAGUGCAGGAGAGGUAAGCGGAAUUCCUAGGGUAGCGGUGAAAUGCGUAGAUAUUAGGAGGAACACCAGUGGCGAAGGCGGCUUACUGGACUGUAACUGACGUUGAGGCUCGAAAGCGUGGGGAGCAAACAGGAUUAGAUACCCUGGUAGUC